UACGUAGGGUGCGAGCGUUGUCCGGAAUUAUUGGGCGUAAAGAGCUUGUAGGCGGUUUGUCGCGUCUGCUCGUGAAAAUCCGGGGGCUCAACCCCGGACUUGCAGUGGGAUACGGGCAGGGCUGGAGGCUGGGUAGGGGCAAGGCGGAAGUUCCUGGAUGUAGCGGUGAAAUGACGCAGAUAUCAGGAGGGAACGACCGGUGGCGAAGGCGGCUUGCUCGGGUCGAGUUCUGACGCUGAGGAGCGAAAGCGUGGGGAGCGAACAGG
rnacentral:rRNA from 1 species